GGACUCAUAUUUUGACAGUUAAGUUAACAGUAAUAUUUGUGUAAUACCUUUUGUAAACUUUUGUAUAAUAAAUAUUGUUAAAUUUUACUAUUGAUUUGUGUCUUUUGUUGGCUACAAUUUAAAGGCGAUUUCUGGCCGUAACAGAAAUUGGGGGCUCGUCCGGGAUACUGAAAAUAUUUUAUUCAAAAUUUGUUUAAUAUUUUUAUUAUAACUAGCCAACAAAAUUCUACAAAAUGGCAUUUGAUGCUGGUAAAUUUUUGAAAACGCCAGACCUGGAGAGUUUUGAUAAUUUAAAGAAAGAGGAAUUAGUGUUGCUUGCUAAACAUCUGAAAUUAAAUUUUUAAAGUAUCUAUGAGAAAACAAAUUAUAAAAAAUUUGGUUAUAGACAAAUUAGUUGACGCAGAAAUUUUAGGUGAAGAGGCUCUUGAACUUAAGGUCGAAAAUGUUGACGCCUUUAAAUUAAAACAGCUUGAAUUAGAACAUGAAUUUAAAUUAAAACAAGCAGAACUGGAAAUGAAGGAAAGGUUGGAAAUAGAGAGAAAAGAAAAAGAAGAUGAAUUUAAAUUAAAAGAACUGGAAAUGAAGGAGAGGGAGAAAAUAAAAGAAGAUGAAUUAAAAUUAAAAGAACUUGAAAUGAGAGAAAGGCUAGAGAUGGAAAAACUGAAAAUUGAAAUGGUCAAAGAAGAAAGCAACACUAAAGUCCAGUCGAAAUCAGAUUAUUUUGAUGCAGCAAAAAAUAUACGUUUGGUUCCGAAAUUUUGUGAAAAAACAGUCGAUAAAUAUUUUCCACAGUUUGAGAAAAUUGCUAAUAAUUUGAAAUGGCCAAUGCCGUAUUGGACUACGAUGCUGCAAAGUGUUUUUGAGGGUAAGGCAGCUGAAAUAUACUCCGCACUUCCAUCAGAAAAAAGUUCUGAUUAUGACACUGUGAAACAGGAAAUUUUGAAAGCCUAUGAGCUAGUACCAGAAGCAUAUAGACAGAAAUUUAGAUCUUAUAAAAAGUUUGAUUCGCAAACCUAUGUGGAAUUUGCUCGGGAAAAAGAAGAUCUAUUUGAUAAAUGGCUUACUUCAAAGAAAACAAAAACAAUUUUGAUCAACCUAAGACAAUUGAUGUUAUUAGAAGAGUUUAAACAAUGUGUUCAUUCAGAAUUAAAAACACAUUUAGACGACAAAACUGUUGAGUCAAUACAUGAUGCAGCUGUAAUUUCAGAUAAUUAUACUCUUUCACAUAAAAGAAGUUUCAAGAGUCAAAAUGUUAAUACUUCCAGUGGAAAUUACAAAAAUCAAAGCACUGAGCGUACUGAUAGUAAGCCUGUUCCACAGAAUAAGAGUCAGUCCAGUUAU
rnacentral:lncRNA from 1 species